AGUGAACGCUGGCGGUAGGCCUAACACAUGCAAGUCGAACGGCAGCACAGUAAGAGCUUGCUCUUACGGGUGGCGAGUGGCGGACGGGUGAGGAAUACAUCGGAAUCUACUUUUUCGUGGGGGAUAACGUAGGGAAACUUACGCUAAUACCGCAUACGACCUACGGGUGAAAGCAGGGGAUCUUCGGACCUUGCGCGAUUGAAUGAGCCGAUGUCGGAUUAGCUAGUUGGCGGGGUAAAGGCCCACCAAGGCGACGAUCCGUAGCUGGUCUGAGAGGAUGAUCAGCCACACUGGAACUGAGACACGGUCCAGACUCCUACGGGAGGCAGCAGUGGGGAAUAUUGGACAAUGGGCGCAAGCCUGAUCCAGCCAUACCGCGUGGGUGAAGAAGGCCUCCGGGUUGUAAAGCCCUUUUGUUGGGAAAGAAAAGCAGCAGGUUAAUACCCCGCUGUUCUGACGGUACUCAAAGAAUAAGCACCGGCUAACUUCGUG
rnacentral:rRNA from 1 species